rnacentral:rRNA from 1 species
GACGAACGCUGGCGGCGUGCUUAACACAUGCAAGUCGAGCGGGAAGCUUCGGCUUCUAGCGGCGAACGGGUGAGUAACACGUGGGCAACCUGCCCCGAGCUCUGGAAUAACCUCGGGAAACCGGGGCUAAUGCCGGAUAUGACACUGCCGGGCAUCUGGUGGUGUGGAAAGAUUUAUCGGCUCGGGAUGGGCCCGCGGCCUAUCAGCUUGUUGGUGGGGUGAUGGCCUACCAAGGCGACGACGGGUAGCCGGCCUGAGAGGGCGACCGGCCACACUGGGACUGAGACACGGCCCAGACUCCUACGGGAGGCAGCAGUGGGGAAUAUUGCGCAAUGGGCGAAAGCCUGACGCAGCGACGCCGCGUGAGGGAUGACGGCC